GACGAACGCUGGCGGCGUGCCUAAUACAUGCAAGUAGAACGCACAGUUUAUACCGUAGCUUGCUACACCAUAGACUGUGAGUUGCGAACGGGUGAGUAACGCGUAGGUAACCUGCCUGGUAGCGGGGGAUAACUAUUGGAAACGAUAGCUAAUACCGCAUAAUAUUGAUUAUUGCAUGAUAAUUAAUUGAAAGGUGCAAUUGCACCACUACCAGAUGGACCUGCGUUGUAUUAGCUAGUAGGUGAGGUAACGGCUCACCUAGGCGACGAUACAUAGCCGACCUGAGAGGGUGAUCGGCCACACUGGGACUGAGACACGGCCCAGACUCCUGCGGGAGGCAGCAGUAGGGAAUCUUCGGCAAUGGACGAAAGUCUGACCGAGCAACGCCGCGUGAGUGAAGAAGGUUUUCGGAUCGUAAAGCUCUGUUGUAAGAGAAGAACGGGUGUGAGAGUGGAAAGUUCACACUGUGACGGUAUCUUACCAGAAAGGGACGGCUAGCUACGUG
rnacentral:rRNA from 1 species